UGAUAUUAUCAUUUUUUAAAAUUAGAUAAUGAUAUUUGUAUUUGUAUCAUUUUAAUAAGUGUGAUUAUGAUAUGAACGUUUGAUUGCAUAGCAUCUAAUUUGUAAUCAUCAUCCAUUCUCCAUCCACUUUUGUGAACAGAUGGUGUCCCUGAUGUGCUCCUGCAGAUUGGCUGUCCUGAUUGCAUCGUUUUAAAGGGGGACCGUUUCCCUCACAUACUCUUCUUAGCAGGAGAGAAAACGUCACCGCUGCUGAGCUGAAGGAAUAUGAGACCCAGUCGGAUUGACCAAGCUGCAUGUUUUCAACUCAGAUCAUGCUGCUUGAUUGUGGUCGUGAGAUACAAGGUCCAACGACAUAGACAGUGAAGCAGCCGGCCAAAACUGUGCAGCUCCGAGGGAAGAAGUCUCAGUCAAGACCGAACUGCAUCUGUGACCCAAGGCCGAGGGAGUAGUCCAGCCUCCUCGCCAGCUCCCCCACUGCCCCGCUGUCUUCCCUUUUUCGUCCAGCAUCACUGCCACAUGCUCACCAGUUCACUCCAGGGGAUAGACGUGUGCUCCAGAGAGAUUCCCAACAGAUUUACCUAAAUAAUCUACCAAGUAUGUGCCUGUAGCAGCUGGACAUGCGCGAAGAUCAGCUGGGGAGAUUGUCAUGGGCCAUGUAUGAUUGACCCAGUGAGGGCAGCAAGCCUGUUCUUCUCCUUUCUUUUUUAUUGCAGAAUCAACAUUCAAAUGUGUAAUUCAUCAUCACCUUUCAUUACACAUGACGUCCUCUGCCUGUCUCACUACACCAUUGCCCUGCCGUGAAUUUAGCAAAACAUGGUCUUAAUUGAUGUUGACCCACAAUGUUCCAGAGGUGAAACAAUUUUAUACUUCAAAACAAAUGUUUAAGGGUUACUGUUGAAAGUUAUGGUGAGAAAUGAUAUAAUAUCUGAAUCUACUUUGUGUAAGAGUGCAUUGCUGCCACCUAGUCAGUGUACAUUAUACUGAAAAACACGAAAUAAGCAAGCUUUUGUGAUGGGUGACUUUUGUUGCAGUUUAGGAAAUACAAAUAAAUCAAUGAAUGCUUCUGUUUUUUCUUUUCUUUUUGUGCAUGUUGGCAAUUUGUCAUUUGAAUACAACAG